UACGGGGGGGGCAAGCGUUGUUCGGAAUUACUGGGCGUAAAGGGCUCGUAGGCGGCCAACUAAGUCGGAUGUGAAAUCCCCAGGCUCAACUUGGGAACUGCAUCCGAUACUGGAUGGCUUGAAUGCGGGAGAGGGAUGCAGAAUUCCAGGUGUAGCGGUGAAAUGCGUAGAUAUCUGGAGGAAUACCGGUGGCGAAGGCGGCAUCCUGGACCGACAUUGACGCUGAGGAGCGAAAGCUAGGGGAGCAAACGGG
rnacentral:rRNA from 1 species